rnacentral:miRNA from 1 species
UCACCGGGUGUCAAUCAGCUAG